UAGGGAAUCUUCGGCAAUGGGGGCAACCCUGACCGAGCAACGCCGCGUGAGUGAAGAAGGUUUUCGGAUCGUAAAGCUCUGUUGUAAGAGAAGAACGUGUGUGAGAGUGGAAAGUUCACACAGUGACGGUAACUUACCAGAAAGGGACGGCUAACUACGUGCCAGCAGCCGCGGUAAUACGUAGGUCCCGAGCGUUGUCCGGAUUUAUUGGGCGUAAAGCGAGCGCAGGCGGUUUAAUAAGUCUGAAGUUAAAGGCAGUGGCUUAACCAUUGUUCGCUUUGGAAACUGUUAAACUUGAGUGCAGAAGGGGAGAGUGGAAUUCCAUGUGUAGCGGUGAAAUGCGUAGAUAUAUGGAGGAACACCGGUGGCGAAAGCGGCUCUCUGGUCUGUAACUGACGCUAAGGCUCGAAAGCGUGGGGAGCAAACAGG
rnacentral:rRNA from 1 species